AUUAAAUCUUAGGUCAAAUCCUAAUCCUAAAUUAAAUUUUAAAUAAACCUUAAAUCUUAAAUCAAACCCUAGGUAAACCCUAAAUUUCUAAAUCAAAUCUUACACAAAUCCUAAAUCCUAAAUCAAAUGCUAAAGAAAUUCUAAAUCCUAAACCAAAUCCUAAAUAUAUUCUAAGCUCUAAAAAAAACCCUUAACAAAUCCUAAAUCCUAAAUCAAAUCCUAGACAAAUCCUAAGUCCUAAACUAAAUCUUAAAUAAAUCCUAAAUCCUAAAUCAAAUCCUAGACAAAUCCUAAGUCCUAAACUAAAUCUUAAAUAAAUCCUAAAUCCUAAAUCAAAUCCUAGACAAAUCCUAAG
rnacentral:lncRNA from 1 species